UACGUAGGGUGCAAGCGUUAAUCGGAAUUACUGGGCGUAAAGCGUGCGCAGGCGGUUAUGCAAGACAGAGGGGAAAUCCCCGGGCUCAACCUGGGAACUGCCUUUGUGACUGCAUAGCUAGAGUACGGUAGAGGGGGAUGGAAUUCCGCGUGUAGCAGUGAAAUGCGUAGAUAUGCGGAGGAACACCGAUGGCGAAGGCAAUCCCCUGGACCUGUACUGACGCUCGUGCACGAAAGCGUGGGGAGCAAACAGG
rnacentral:rRNA from 1 species